ensembl:lncRNA
GGGAAACACACCGCACCUCUCUAACCAUUCCUGCUGCUCAAGCUGGAAUGUCCCCAAAGCCUCGGACCACGGGCGCUACACCACAUCCCCCAGCUAUAUCCCCUCCGGCUGUGCCACGGCAGCUGAAAGGCUCCAAGAAGGCCACGGAAAAAGGAAGCUCUGCACCACCCACCUUCAAGGAAGGCUAUCUCUUUGAGGCUCCCUGCCAGCUGACACGGGCCACCAACUGUGGACAAAGGGAGCUCUCGAACACCCACCACCUCCCUAACCUCCCAUUUUGUCCCAGGCAGCUGCACGGCCCCCACUGCUGUGGGGAAAGGACGCUCCAUGCCACCCAGCCACUCUGCAAACGGCAACAACAGGACCAUGCCCAAAGCCCUGGACAAAGGGAGCCUCUCACAAGCCAGCUCUACAACCUGUCAGCGUCUUCCCGGGGAGCUGCAAAUCCACAUGGUGAGGACACAGAAACCAGGCCGACUCCCUCCCUCUUCUCAGAGGUUCCCUGUCUGGUGCAAGCUUCCCACACGCAUCAACAGAGGGGCCUCCGCAGCUCCAACCGCUUCUCUAACACAUCAUCUUCUUCCUUUAAAGGCACACCAAGGGACUCCACGGACAUGGAAAAGAGGGGCUAUGCACCACCCAGCAUCUUGCCCACCUCUCAAGGUAGGCAGAGAGACCUUCAACUUGCCCAUAACUGUGUCUCACCCAGCCACGGGACCAACAAGACACCUCUCAAACUUCUCAUUCUCUUCCAGGCUACCGCAACGGCUCGACAGAAUUGGACAAAGAGAGCUGAGAAAAAAAUGCUUCUCUGGAACCCCUCCUGGUGUGAAAGAUGGCAGAUGGAAGGUCCCCACGGCUCAGGACAAAGGGCGCUCCACGCCACCCAGACACUCGGUAAUCACGCAUAAGCUCAGAUGAAGCAGCACGAUGCCCAAGGCGUUGCCCAAAGCAUGCCUCCCAAAAGUCAGCUCGAGAAGCUCUCAAGGUCUUCCCAGGGACCUGCAAACCCACAUGCUUGGGGCACAGAAACAAGGCAGCAUCACGGCCACCUCUGACAAGCUCCUGUCAGAUUCAAGGCACCCCUAGGCAUGGACACAGGGAGCUCCGCAACUCCAACCUCUUCUCCAACAAAUUCUCUUCUUCACAGCCACAAGAAAGGAUUCCAGAGUCAUGGAAAGGAGGAGCUCCACCACACCCAGCAUAUCUCCAACCUCCCGUCGUCUCCCUCUCACCUCCACCUUCCACACCGUCAUGGACAACGGGUGAGCUCUGCACCACGCGGCAACUCGCCCACCUCUCGUGCUCUGCACAGAGAGCUACAACUUCCCCAGAGCUCGCUACCACACACCAACUCUCAAAGCUCACAUGCUCUCCAACAGCAUAUUGACGUGCCAGCCGACGUGGAGAAAGGGAGCUGGGAAACACACCACAUCUCUCUAACCUUUCCUGCUGCUCAAGGUACACACAGCUCCCGCGUAGCCUUGGAGAAAGGGAGAUCUGCAGCUCCUGCCUCCUCUCUAACCUGUCCUGCUGCUCAAGGUACACACAGCUCCCGCGUAGCCUUGGAGAAAGGGAGAUCUGCAGCUCCUGCCUCCUCUCUAACCUGUCACGCUCUAUCUGGCAGCUGGACCUCUUGAAAGCAACGUUCCUUUGGAGUUUGACUAUGUACCCCAUGUAUGUUGCUUCUCUUACUCUGCCACUGUAGCUGCAAUAUUUUAUGAAAUCUAUUGAAAUAUUGGAGCAGUUGUUUAUUAUUUCGGCAAUCAUUUAAUCACUACAGAGCCAUUUUCUCUCCUUCUCCCCUAUUUGGUUGAGGGAAAUUUAUGAAAAAAUGUAAAAGCUUGGAGGUUAAGAUGACAGUUAAUUAGGACAGAAAAUAAAGGAAAAUAUUAUUAAUAAUUUUAAUAUUCU